ensembl:rRNA 5S_rRNA 5S ribosomal RNA
GCUUACGGCCAUACCACUCUGACAAAGCCCGAUCUCAUCUGACCUUGGAAGCAAAGCAAAGUUCGGCCUGGUUAAUACUUGCUUGGAUGACUGAAUGGGAAUACUAGGUGCUGUAAGCU